rnacentral:lncRNA from 1 species
UUUGAGCCCAUCAAGAAAGGUGAAGAGAGAGUCUUCGUUGCUGAAGUCUGGUACCUCCAACAACAAUUCGCUGAACUCUCGCACAUACUUACAUACAUCACCCUUUUGCGUGAGUCGCCGUAGUCGUGCUCGAGCUUCAUCCUUAGCAAACGCGGGGAAGAAUUGCUUUCGAAGUUUAGUUUGGAACUAUGACCAAGUGGUGAUUGGAGCAGCCCCUCACUUCACAUCGUUAGCCCGACGUCGCCACCAAAGCAUCGCCACAUCCCUCAAGAACAUGGCCGCCGUGCUCAGCUUCAUGGCUUCCUCCCUCACGCCGGUAACCUGUAGGUAUUGUUCCACGGCGAAAAGAAAGUUAUCCACCUCCUUCGUGGAGUGUCGUCCGCAGAACUCCUAUGGCUUGGGAACAUCAAGCUUGUGCAGGGGGCGCGUAGCCUCUCUUGUGACCUCCAUUGUCAUGGAGAAGAGGAUGCGCCUGUGGUGGUACUCUCCUUUAAAAGAUCAACCACCUAAUCUUGGAGAGCCUUCACCAUGAUCUCCAACCCCUCGUUAUGCCGUAGCACUUCCUUAUAGCGC